rnacentral:lncRNA from 1 species
CUACUGAAUACCCCUCCCCACAGGUGGUCUUUGUCACUCUGCUAGUAAGUGAUGCUAUAGGUAACUGGUUUGGGUCUGGAUGGGGAAUUUGGAGGCAUGGCUAAGGAGUAUGGGGUGUGAUUGGGGUCAGGAAAUUUAAGGGAGGGGGGCCUAGCAGCCUAAAGGGCAAUGACAGAAAUGUGGGAAAAGGGGCUGGAAUUUGGGGACCUAAGGUUGACCUCUCCUGUUACCCCUAUGUACAUUACGCCUUUACCUGGAUCAUUUCUUGCUGUUCCUCCCACCCACCUCUUCCUUCCCAGAUGUCUUCUCUUAUGCCAUAUAAAGUAAAGGAUUUUGGCACAACCUCCCUUUGGCUGUUGCAUGCUCUUCACCCUCUCAACUCCCUGCAUCCUGUGAUCAACUUCAAACUGGGCCAAGUGUGGAAAAGAGAAAUUCCUAAAAUGAUUCAGAUUUUGGAGAUUUUCAAUUCAUACGUCACUGACCAUUGAUGAUGACGACUGGCUGAAUGAUCUUAUCAAAGCGAUGUUGAAGAAGAUCCAAAGCCUCAAGUGGUCACAACAGGGGAAGGAGAAGUCCUUCUUAUACAGACUCAUUGGCUAUACCCUGAGGGGCUCUGAAGACCAUAGCUUCGUGUCUUUGAUGUUGGCUGAUAUACUAAAUGGUGCUCAAGAGGAAGAGCUGGAAAGAGAUCUGAGGCCCCAGGCUCCAGGAAGGAGGCACAUGUUAGAAAAAGUUAGAGUAUUAGAGCAUAGAAUUUUUGAGCAAGGGCUUCAGACUCUCCAGUCAGGAGUCUUCUUUCAAAAAAAAAUACUUAUUGGUAUCUUUUAUUUUUACAAUCAGCUUCAUUUCCAAGUAUAUUCCUCCCCCUCCUCUAUCCUUUCCGGUGAACCAUGCCUUGUACAAAGAAUAAAUAAGAAACAUAAAGCAGUUCAGCAAAACUAA